rnacentral:lncRNA from 1 species
CAGGGGAAGAAAGGGGAAGAAUGUCUUCACCAAGGGUAUCAUUUUCAUUACAGCAAUGAUGAGCAUUGAAAAAAAAAUUACAAGAGUUGUCUUGCAAGUGUGAAGCGGUAGCAGGAUGCAAAAGUUGCAUCUGGUAAUGGUUUGUAUAUGAUACAAACUAAUUUAUCAUUGAAUGCUUCAGCUUUAGAUUUUUGGGUAUGUGAUACCUCAUGUAGGUCUCACUUAUGCAAAGCAUUGCUGGACCCAGAAAGCUGAAGAGAGGUGACUUCAUACCUUUUGUCACUGAUGGAUAGUC